AACGAACGCUGGCGGCAUGCCUAACACAUGCAAGUCGAACGAGACCUUCGGGUCUAGUGGCGCACGGGUGCGUAACGCGUGGGAACCUGCCCUUAGGUUCGGAAUAACUCCCCGAAAGGGGUGCUAAUACCGGAUAAUGUCUUCGGACCAAAGAUUUAUCGCCUUUGGAUGGGCCCGCGUUGGAUUCGCUAGUUGGUAGGGUAAAAGCCUACCAAGGCGACGAUCCAUAGCUGGUCUGGGAGGAUGAUCAGCCACACUGGGGCUGAGACACGGCCCAGACUCGUACGGGAGGGAGCAGUGGGGAAUAUUGGAGAAUGGGCGAAGGGCUGAUCCAGCAAUGCCGCGUGAGUGAUGAAGGCCUUAGGGUUGUAAAGCUCUUUUACCCGGGAUGAUAAUGACGGUACCGGGAGAAUAAGCUCCGGCUAACUCCGUG
rnacentral:rRNA from 1 species